GUCUGAUGUGAAAGCCCUGGGCUCAACCCAGGAAGUGCAUUGGAAACUGGCAGACUUGAAUACGGGAGAGGGCAGUGGAAUUCCUAGUGUAGGAGUGAAAUCCGUAGAUAUUAGGAGGAACACCGGUGGCGAAGGCGGCUGCCUGGACCGAUAUUGACGCUGAGACGCGAAAGCGUGGGUAGCAAACAGGAUUAGAUACCCUGGUAGUCCACGCCGUAAACGAUG
rnacentral:rRNA from 1 species